CCUGUUUAUCUUAGUGGCGGACGGGUGAGUAACGCGUGGGUAACCUGCCCUGUACAGGGGGAGUAACACUUAGAAAUAGGUGCUAAAACCGCAUAAGCGCACAGUACCGCAUGGUACAGUGUGAAAAACUCCGGUGGUACAGGAUGGACCCGCGUCUGAUUAGCUGGUUGGAGGGGUAACGGCCCACCAAGGCGACGAUCAGUAGCCGGCCUGAGAGGGUGAACGGCCACAUUGGGACUGAGACACGGCCCAAACUCCUACGGGAGGCAGCAG
rnacentral:rRNA from 1 species